CGAGAUUGCCUCUUGUCUCGUGGGCUCGGAGAUGUGUAUAAGAGACAGGUUAUAUGAAGACCAGCGUAAUGAGCUUGUCGGAUUUUCAGAGAGGUGGUGCAUGGCCGUCGUCAGUUCGUACUGUAAAGCGUUCUGUUAAGUCAGAUAACGAACGAGACCCUCAUCUCUAUUUGCUACCUGGUUCUCCGGAAUCAGCGCACUAUAGGGAGACCGCUGGUGUUAAACCAGAGGAAGGCGAGGGCAACGACAGGUCAGUAUGCCCCGAAUGUCCUGGGCUACACGCGCGCUACAAAGGACGGGACAAUGGGAAGCCAGGCCGAGAGGCCGAGCUAACCCGAAACCCGUUCAUAGUUCGGAUCGAGGGCUGUAACUCGCCCUCGUGAAGCUGGAUUCCGUAGUAAUCGUGUUUCAAUAUAGCACGGUGAAUAUGCCCCUGCUCCUUGCACACACCGCCCGUCAAACCAUCUUAGUUGGGGGUGGGUGAGGCUGCGCUUACUUCGGUAUGGCGUAUUCGAGCCUGCCUUCGACAAGGAGGGUUA
rnacentral:rRNA from 1 species